rnacentral:rRNA from 1 species
CAGCAGCCGCGGGAAUACCGAGGGUGCGAGCGUUAAUCGGAUUUACUGGGCGUAAAGCGUGCGUAGGCGGCUUUUUAAGUCGGAUGUGAAAUCCCUGAGCUUAACUUAGGAAUUGCAUUCGAUACUGGGAAGCUAGAGUAUGGGAGAGGAUGGUAGAAUUCCAGGUGUAGCGGUGAAAUGCGUAGAGAUCUGGAGGAAUACCGAUGGCGAAGGCAGCCAUCUGGCCUAAUACUGACGCUGAGGUACGAAAGCAUGGGGAGCAAACAGGAUUAGAUACCCCAGUAGUCCCUGUCUCUUAUAC